rnacentral:lncRNA from 1 species
UUUUUGGUCCGUGUCUAUUGCCGAUGGCUGCUUUGGCGUCGCAACAGCAGAGCUGAGUCGUCGCGACAGAGAUCGUAUGGCCCAUAAAGACUAAAAUAUUCACAAUCUGGCCCUCUGCAGACACAAUGUGCUACCCCUGCUCCAGUUGACACUUUUUGGGACGGCAGCCUAGCUCAUGGUGACUUCUUUGGGAAUUCACACCACACACACACACGCGCACACAUACACACACACACACAGAGGAGUGCACACACGCAUGCGUGCACACAGGCACACACUGGCGCAUACACAGAGGCACCCCAGGGCUGCAUUAAGUGUCCUUCUGGCCACAGCUGAUUGGUCUCGCAGAAUGCAUCUGACCCAAGCUGGACCAAUCAGAUUCUUUCUCACAGGAAUUUGAAAGUGAGCAUCAGGGACAGUUAUAGCCUGGCUUGAAGAGAAAGACCAUGACUCCUCCUGCCUAGGUUUCCCAAGCUGCCCCGGUUUUGACCCUUCCUGACACCAGCAUACACUUUCAUCCACAGCUGGCCAAACUCCUGCUUGCGCUGACUUCUUAGGAGGCUGGUAUCAGCCUCGACCUCGUUAAAUGAGGCUCACAGCUGAACUGAGUUGCAGAAUCCACACUCUCCCACUGGCUGCACCCAGGCGCCUCCAUCGGCUAACUGCUUGCUCAGCAGAGAGAUGCAGAAGCCUCCUGCCCAGGCCGGGACGGAGCAGCCUUCUGCUGCAGGGUUCAGGCAUGGAGCCGGGGACAGAUGACCUGGCUGGGGUGUGCAGAGAAACACGCCCCGAGCGCCCUCCUGAAUUUGUCAGCUUUGGAGAAAGGUCUCAGAACGCCAGCUGCGGGGCCCUGACCCCCCGAGGUGACGUCCAAGCUGUUGGAGAAGCUGAGCACGCUGGAGGGCUGCCGAAGGCUUGGUCCAGCCUGGCCUGAAGUGAUUUGAAGGCAUCGCUAAUGGCCUGCUGAUCUUCCCUGUCUGGGUCUCCCACCAGCACCUCAAAGUCUAUAUGUCAAAAACUGACCCUGUUAAAUGGCCGUCCAUGGUGGGCGGCCUGAGAUGGCCUCCAAGAUCCUAGCCUCCUGAAUUCCUGCUCUGUGUGGUCUCCUCUCACACCGGAUCAGAGCUGCAAUACCAACAGAGUAGGGUGGAGGCUGUGUCUCCUUCUGAGAC